AACGAACGCUGGCGGCAGGCUUAACACAUGCAAGUCGAGCGCCCCGCAAGGGGAGCGGCAGACGGGUGAGUAACGCGUGGGAACGUACCUUUUGGUUCGGAACAACUCCGGGAAACUGGAGCUAAUACCGGAUAAGCCCUAACGGGGAAAGAUUUAUCGCCGAAAGAUCGGCCCGCGUCUGAUUAGCUAGUUGGUGAGGUAACGGCUCGCCAAGGCGACGAUCAGUAGCUGGUCUGAGAGGAUGAUCAGCCACACUGGGACUGAGACACGGCCCAGACUCCUACGGGAGGCAGCAGUGGGGAAUAUUGGACAAUGGGCGCAAGCCUGAUCCAGCCAUGCCGCGUGAGUGAUGAAGGCCUUAGGGUUGUAAAGCUCUUUUGUCCGGGAAGAUAAUGACUGUACCGGAAGAAUAAGCCCCGGCUAACUUCGUG
rnacentral:rRNA from 1 species